rnacentral:rRNA from 1 species
GAGUUUGAUCCUGGCUCANAAUCAACGCUGGCGGCGCGCCUAACACAUGCAAGUCGAACGAGAAAGUGAGCAAUCCAUGAGUACAGUGGCGUACGGGUGAGUAACACGUGGGUAAUCUGCCUCUUUGUGUGGAAUAACCCUGGGAAACCGGGGCUAAUACCGCAUAAGCUCGAGAGAGGAAAGCAGCAAUGCGCUGAGAGAGGAGCCCGCGGCCGAUUAGCUAGUUGGUAGGGUAAAAGCCUACCAAGCAAAAAUCGGUACCCGGCCUAAAGGCCCCGGCCCACUGCCUUGAACACGGGCCAGACUCUAGGGAGGCAGCAGUGGGAUUCUUCCCCAAUGGGGAACCCUUAAUGCAACCCCCGCCGCGUUAACGAUGAAGCCCUCGGGGUGUAAAGCUCUUUCGGCAGGGAAAUGAUGAGGGUACCUGCAGAAGCAGUUGCGGGCUAACUACGUGCCAGCAGCCGCGGUAAUACGUAGGUAGCAAGCGUUGUUCGGAGUUACUGGGCGUAAAGGGUGUGUAGGCGGUUCUCUAAGUUUGGUGUGAAAUCUCCCGGCUCAACUGGGAGGGUGCGCCGAAUACUGAAGGACUCGAGUGCGGGAGAGGAGAGUGGAAUUCCUGGUGUAGCGGUGAAAUGCGUAGAUAUCAGGAGGAACACCGGUGGUGUAGACGGCUUUCUGGACCGUAACUGACGCUGAGACACGAAAGCGUGGGUAGCAAACAGGAUUAGAUACCCUGGUAGUCCACGCCCUAAAUACCCUGGUAGUCACCCCCUAAACGAUGCAUAUUGGUGUGGGCAGUUCAGUCUGUCCGUUCCCGGCCGGAGUAACGCGUUAAUAUCCGCUGGGGAGACAUCGCAAGGUNAAAUCAAAGGAAUUGACGGGGGCCGCCAAGCGGUGGAGCAUGUGUUCAAUUCGACGCAACGCGAAGAACCUUACUUGGCUCGAACGGCUGGUUACCGGCGGUGGAAACAUCGCUACCCCGCAAGGGGGUCCAGUCGAGGUGCUGCAUGGCUGUCGUCAGCUCGUGUCGUGAGAUGUUGGGUUAAGUCCCGCAACGAGCGCAACCCUUGUCCUGUGUUGCCAUCAUUCAGUUGGGAACUCGCAGGAGACCGCCAGCGAUAAGCUGGAGGAAGGUGGGGAUGACGUCAAGUCCUCAUGGCCUUUAUGUCCAGGGCUACACACGUGCUACAAUGGCCGGUACAAAGCGCCGCAAACCCGCGAGGGGGAGCCAAUCGCAAAAAACCGGUCUCAGUUCGGAUUGCAGGCUGCAACUCGCCUGCAUGAAGCUGGAAUCGCUAGUAAUGGCAGAUCAGCACGCUGCCGU